rnacentral:rRNA from 1 species
AGGACGAACGCUGGCGGCGUGCUUAACACAUGCAAGUCGAGCGGAAAGGCCCUUCGGGGUACUCGAGCGGCGAACGGGUGAGUAACACGUGAGCAACCUGCCCUUAGCUCCGGGAUAGCUCCGGGAAACCGGAAUUAAUACCGGAUAUGACCUAGGCCGACAUCGGCUGUGGUGGAAAGUUUUUCGGCUGGGGAUGGACUCGCGGCCUAUCAGCUUGUUGGUGGGGUAAUGGCCUACCAAGGCGACGACGGGUAGCCGGCCUGAGAGGGCGACCGGCCACACUGGGACUGAGACACGGCCCAGACUCCUACGGGAGGCAGCAGUGGGGAAUCUUGCGCAAUGGGCGAAAGCCUGACGCAGCGACGCCGCGUGGGGGAUGAAGGCCUUCGGGUUGUAAACCCCUUUCAGCAGGGACGAAGCGAAAGUGACGGUACCUGCAGAAGAAGCGCCGGCUAACUACGUGCCAGCAGCCGC